UACGUAGGGUGCGAGCGUUAAUCGGAAUUACUGGGCGUAAAGCGUGCGCAGGCGGUUUGUUAAGCCAGAUGUGAAAGCCCCGGGCUCAACCUGGGAACUGCGUUUGGUACUGGCAAGCUAGAGUACGGCAGAGGGGGGUGGAAUUCCACGUGUAGCAGUGAAAUGCGUAGAGAUGUGGAGGAACACCGAUGGCGAAGGCAGCCCCCUGGGCCGAUACUGACGCUCAGGCACGAAAGCGUGGGGAGCAAACGGG
rnacentral:rRNA from 1 species